rnacentral:misc_RNA from 1 species
AACCAUUCUCACCUGCGGCUAGACCUGCGGAGGGAUCAUUAUCGAGUUGCAAAACUCCAACCCUUUGUGAACAUACCUCAGUCGUUGCUUCGGCGGUGGACGGCCUGUUUUUCGGAACGGCCGGAAGCCGCCGGAGGUUCCAAACUCGUAUUUUUUAGUGUAUCUCUGAGCCUGAAAACAAAUAAUCAAAACUUUUAGCAACGGAUCU